rnacentral:rRNA from 1 species
AUCUGUGGCCAUGCCACCCUGAACAAGUCCAAUCUCAUCUGAUCUCAAAUGCUAAGCAGGGUCAGGCCUAGUUAGUACUUGGAUAGGAGAUCACGUAGGAAGACCAGGUGCUGUAGGCA